GUUCAUUCUCGCAAUCGCUCUCUUGCUGUGUCCCCAUCGCUGUAUUGAUCUCUUUUGUUUUUUCAACUACAUGUCACAUUUGUCCGGUAAUCCUUGUUGGCUUUGCACUGGCUGACGCAAUGUCUGUUCCGGAAGAGAGAAACGACCUGAUCAGACCAGGUUGGAAGGUCAUCAGGAACUGUGUGACAGUGACGACGACCAUGGUGGAUGAGUUUGACAACAUGCCGAAGCAGGAGAAGGAGACGGUUCAGAUCUUCGGGGGACCAGAGUGUGAGAACAACGAGAGAAGCAAAAGAGGAUUUGUUCGCAUCGGUCGACAACUCUCCAAUUACUGAAGUCUUGAGUGGCAUCACCUGGAGAAGACUGGCCUGUCCUCCCCAGUUUACGUACGUGACCCUUGACUGUGGGUAUCCGGUGACAGUGGACGAUCCAGUACAGUGACGGGCAGUGAAGACGACAUGGGAAUGUGGGAUAAUCAUGAAUUAAAGUUCAAUUUAUUGGAUUCACUCUAACUACUGUCCUAGUCUGAAAAGUGUCACACUAUACCCUAUGUUUUGCAGAUUUAAUGGUCAUAAUUAGUUUUCUUCUCUGUUAUGUACUUUCUGGUAACUCUCCCUAACUGUGACGACUCUAAGGCCAUACUGUAAUGUAUAUGAAUACAGUAUUGAAAAGUAACCUUGAAUUAUCAUAAUGUACGUUGUUAACGCUCACAUUUAUAAUGUUGUUGCAUAGGAUAGGUCUGAUAUGGAAUACUUCUAAUAUGAUCAAGAUAACAAAAUACUCAUCUAAGGUCAGUUUUGUGUGGGUUUCUCCCUAGGGUGUAGAAUUAUAGGCAGGGUUUCUCCCUGGGGUGUAGAAUUAUAGGCAGGGUUUCUCCCUGGGGUGUAGAAUUAUAGGCAGGGUUUCUCCCUGGGGUGUAGAAUUAUAGGCAGGGUUUCUCCCUGGGGUGUAGAAUUAUAGGCAGGGUUUCUCCAUGGGGUGUAGAAUUAUAGGCAGGGUUUCUCCCUGGGGUGUAGAAUUAUAGGCAGGGUUUCUCCCUGGGGUGUAGAAUUAUAGGCAGGGUUUCUCCCUGGGGUUUAGAAUUAUAGGCAGGGUUUCUCCCUGGGGUUUAGAAUUAUAGGCAGGGUUUCUCCCUGGGGUUUAGAAUUAUAGGCAGGGUUUCUCACUAGGGUUCAGGAUUUAAGGUAGCUAAGACAAGUCUAGAGUUGAAUAUUUAAAGUAGAGUUUCUCCAUAGGGUUAAGAUUUGGGGGAGGGCAAACCUAGGGUUUAGGAUUUAAGGUACCUAGGGUAAGCCUAGAGUAGGGUUUCUCCACAGUGUUUAGGAUUUGGGGGAGGACAAACCUAGGGUUUAGGAUUCAAGGUAGCUAGGGCAAGUUUAGGGUUUAUGAUUUAGAGUUUAUCUGUAGGGUUUAGGAAUAGGGUGAGGGCAUGCUGAUAAAUUUAUUCCCAGAGCAUAUUAAGCUGUGCUACACUAAGUGCUUAAGGUUAACUCUAAAUGUCUAGGAUCAGGUUAAUAUCCUAAUCUCAAUAUAUUUGAUAUUUUGGUAUUUAUUAGAAUCCCCAUUAGCCGCUGCAAAAUAAUCAGCUACACUUCCGGGUGUCCACAUGAAACAUAAAAUAAUACAGAACAUUAUUAGUCAAAAACUGAAAUAAAUACAUGUAACUCUGCCUACAAUGGUCACACUCCCACGGAAAUCUAAUUAACAUAAUAUAAAAAAAUCUGUCUGUUUAAGCUAGAGAGAUGUUUUUUUUCCGCAUGGGCCAAUAUCGCACUUCAGUAUCUCCGGUGAAAGAUGGCAGAGCUAGAGUGGGGUUUGUCAGACCAUGAGACAUCCUGAAAUUCAGUAUUUCACAAAAUCGUAUGUAGUGUCCGAACGGUUUGGCCUACAAACUAUUGUACAACCAUACUGAAAGUUGAGACUCUCUCAAACACAAGUGUUCUCCGUUUUGUUGUAGGGUACCCACUAGCCUCACAAGACUAGUCUGCAUGUCCCCAGUACCAGUUUAAAAAAUGAAUGGAAGUAUUAGUGCCUAAAAUAAGGGGAUAAAUAUAACAAGAAAUAUAUACACUACCGGUCAAAACUUUUAUAACACCUACGGGUUUUUCUUUAAUUUUACUAUAUUCUACAUUGUAGGAUAAUAGUGAAGACAUCAACACAAUGAAAUAACACAUGGAAUCACGUAGUAACCCAAAAAAUAUUAAUGUCACGAUUGUCGUAAUAAUUGGACCAAGGCGCAGCGGGAGUAGCGUUCCACAUCUUUAUUAAAAUGUGAAACUUAGCAAAAUACAAAAAACAAAUAAAUAAAUAAAUGAACAAACAAAACGUGAAGAUGGUGAAGUGCAAAAAGGCACCUACACAAAAACAAUAUCCCACAAACACAGGUGGGAAAAAUAACUACUUAAAUAUGAUCCCCAAUUAGAGACAACGAUUACCAGCUGCCUCUAAUUGGGAAUCAUAAAAAAUCACCAACAUAGAAAUCAUAACCUAGAACCCCACAUAGAAAUAAUAAACUUGAAUACCCCCCAGUCACGCCUUGACCUACUUCACCAUAGAGAAACAAUGGCUCUCUAUGGUCAGGGCAUGACAGUUAAACAAAUUCUUCAAAUAGCCACCAUUUGCCUUGAUGACAGCUUUGCACACUCUUGGCAUUCUCACAAUCAGCUUCAUAAGGUAGUCACCUGGAAUGCAUUUCAAUUAACAGGUGUGCCUUCUUAAAAGUUAAUUUGUGGAAUUUCUUUCCUUCUUAAUGCGUUUGAGCCAAUCAGUUGUUUUGUGACAAGGUAGGGGGUGUAUACAGAAGAUAUCCCUAUUUGGUAAAAGACCAAGUGCAUAUCAUGGCAAUAACAGUUCAAAUAAGAAAAGAGAAACGACAGUCCAUCCUUACUUUAAGACAUGAAGGUCAGUCAAUGCGGAAAAUGUCAGUCGCAAAAACCAUCAAGAGCUAUGAUGAAACUGGCUCUCAUGAGGACUGCCACAGGAAAGAAACACCCAGAGUUACCUCUGCUGCAGAGGAUAAGUUCAUUAGACUUACCAGCCUUAGAAAUUGCAGGCCAAAUAAAUGCUUCACAGAGUUCAAGUACUGUAACAGACACAUAUCAACAUCAAAUGUUCAGAGGAGACUGUGUGAAUCAGGCCAUGGUUGAAUUGGUGCAAAGAAAUCAAUAAGAAGAAAACACUUGCUUGGGCCAAGAAAAACAAGGAAUGGAUAUAUUUCCACCGGUCUAAUGUCCUUUCCUUGUUUUUCUUGGCCCAAGCAAGUGUUUUCUUCUUAUUGAUUUCGUUGCAUCAAUUUUCUGACAUUGAGGAGGUGUGAUGGUGUGGGGUGCUUUGCUGGUGACACUGUCUGUGAUUUAUUUAGAAUUCAAGGCACACUUAAUGAGCAUGGCUACCACAGCAUUCUGCAGCAGUACGCCAUCCCAUCUGGUUUGUGCUUAGUGGGACUAUCAUUUGUUUUUCAAUAGGACAAUGACCCAACACACCUCCAGGCUGUGUAAAGGCUAUUUGACCAAGGAGAUUGAUGGAGUGCUUCAUCAGAUGACCUGGUCUCCACAACCACCCGACCUAAACCCAAUUGGGAUGGUUUGGGAUGAGUUGAACCACAGAGUGAAGGAAAAGAAGCCAACAACUCCUUCAAGACUUUUGGAAAAGCAUUCCAGGUGAAGCUGGUUGAGAGAAUGCCCAGAGUGUGCAAAGCUGUCAACAAGGCAAAGGGUGGCUACUUUGACAAAUCUAAAAUAUAUUUUUCAUUUGUUUAACACUUUUUUGCUUACUACAUGAUUCCAUAUGUGUUUUUUUCCUAGUUUUGAUGUCUUCACUAUUAUUCUACAAUGUAGAAAAAAGUAAAUUAAAUAAAUAAAAACCCUGGAAUGGGUAGGUGUGUCCAAACUUUUGACUGGUACUGUAUAUAUUUCUUAAUUCCCUUCUUUUACUUUUGUAUUGUUGUGAAUUGUUACAUACU
rnacentral:lncRNA from 1 species